CCUACGGGAGGCUGCAGUGAGGAAUAUUGCUCAAUGGCCGGAACGCUGAACCAGCCAAGCCGCGUGAAGGACGAAGGUGCCAAGCAUUGUAAACUUCUUUCGUCAAGGGACAAAAUCAGGCGCGAGAGCCUGACCGAGGGUACUUGAAGAAAACGCAGCGGCAAACUCCGGGCCAGCAGCCGCGGUAAUCCGGAGGAUGCGAGGGUUAUCCGGAUUUAUUGGGUUAAAAGGGUGCGUAGGCGGACUGUUAGGUCAGCGGUAAAAGCCCGGGGCUCAACCCCGGAGAGCCGUUGAAACUGGCUGUCUUGAGAUGUCGAGAGGUAUGCGGAAUGCGCAGUGUAGCGGUGAAAUGCUUAGAUAUUGCGCAGAACUCCGAUUGCGAAGGCAGCAUACCGGAGGCGAUCUGACGCUGAGGCACGAAAGCGUGGGUAUCGAACAGGAUUAGAUACCCUAGUAGUC
rnacentral:rRNA from 1 species